rnacentral:rRNA from 1 species
UACGAAGGGGGCUAGCGUUGUUCGGAAUCACUGGGCGUAAAGGGCGCGUAGGUGGCUUUAUAAGUCGGGGGUGAAAGCCUGUGGCUCAACUCCAGAACUGCCUUUGAUACUGAGAAGCUUGAGUCCGGGAGAGGUGAGUGGAACUGCGAGUGUAGAGGUGAAAUUCGUAGAUAUUCGCAAGAACACCAGUGGCGAAGGCGGCUAACUGGUCCAGAUCUGACGCUGAGGUGCGAAAGCGUGGGGAGCAAACAGG